AUCUUUGACUAAAAAAAAAGAAAGAGUUUAUUUGUAAAAUUCUGCCCGUAUUGUCUGAUUAUGUCUAGUUCUUAUCUAUUUCAUUUCUAUCUACAUGUUGUCAUUUCUUUUGCGAGCAUCAUUUUUUACAGUAGCUGGAGAUAGUACAGCGAUAGCUCCCUUGUAUCUCUCCCUUUCUCUUUUUUUUUAUCUGCGAAUGAAUAUUUCUACCUUGUACCGACAGCGGCGAAAUUAUACAAACGGGAUUCCUCCCAUGGUUCAAAUCGAGCCAUGGUAUGUCGUUACUUUUUACUAUCUUCGUAGCCAAUAAACAUAACCGUUUUCGUAACUGCCAACCCGGAAUAGCUGUCUCCGCACGGGAACAAAUCGAAAAACAUAUCUGAUAGUCGCCGCACAAGGCCGAGGAAAAUCAGCCAUUGAAACUCUCAGAGAUUCCUGGGCUCCGCCCUGAAAGUCGAGAGCGAACGAGUCCCUCUUCGGCUGCCCGGCCAACGAAGAGGAUAGUUUGCAUACGUGGUGCAGCGGAGAGGGUGGCAGCCGGACACAGCCCUCCGAUCAAUGAAGGCGAAGCGCGCGCAGCCCCUCCGAUUUUUUGAAAAUCUGCCCGCCAACCUGGUACUGCCCCUUGUUUAUCCCCUCCGCAGUGUCUACAUCUGAACUGCAUACCAAGAUGGGGAAACGUAGCAACGCCGUGAAUACACCAUUUUGCUGUCGACUUGUUCGAUUCACCUAGCAUCGCCAUUUUGCCCCGAAGGGGCCUGCUCUCAACUGCGAAAAAUUAUCAAUGGCGAUGCAUCGAGAUAUGAAAAAACGGCACGAUCUGUCUUAUCUCCUCAGACGAGCGUAAAAAAAACCGCUCCCUUUUAAAAAGUGAUUCAACCGCGGCGUUCCCGCGCGCAAAAAGAAUUGCACAGAGCCGCCCUCUCGGUUUUUACAUGCGCGAUCUGCACGCGGAAGAGGUACAAAAAACAAACAAAAAAACUGUUUUCUUCGCCGUGAAGGGGAGACUGGUGCCAUCUGCUGGCAUUUUUUGAACAAGCCAUUCUUCACCCCUCAACCCUUGCGUGCGUUCGUCGAGCAAGGGCACGUAUGAGUUCAUCAACCCCCAGUAGGAUGGCGCCACUAAGCAAAUUCUAUUUUAAAAAAUCAUUUGCGUUAUUCUUUAACUUUUUGUCACUUAAAUUAAUAGCUUGCCCUUCCAAAAUUGAUAUAUAAAUGUGAAGCGACAAAUCAGUAUAAUUUGAUGCAAUAUUAAGUCAUGAUAUUAAAUUGUAAUAUUUUUAAAUUCUUAAUUAUAUCGAAUUUUUUUAUUCUCAACGAAAUUUAUAGGAGACUCUUUUAAGAAACUUACCUUGACGUAAUUUUUAAUCAUGAUUCCUAAAUUUUUAAUUUUCUCGAAUAAAAGCAUAAAAUAAAUGAAAUAAAUACAUCAAAUAAUUGAUGUCUAUAAAUAAAAAAAUUUCAUAUAUUGAGACAAACUGUUUUGUCAAAUCAGUAACAAUUGAAGAUAUGUACAGCUAAUUUUAAAAACUAAUUACCUUGUUAAUAUUUUCUAAUAUUAAAACGAUGUUAUUGUAUUCACGGAAA